rnacentral:rRNA from 1 species
UCCGGAGGGGGCUAGCGUUGUUCGGAAUUACUGGGCGUAAAGCGCGCGUAGGCGGCUUUGUAAGUUAGAGGUGAAAGCCCGGAGCUCAACUCCGGAAUUGCCUUUAAGACUGCAUCGCUAGAAUCAUGGAGAGGUGAGUGGAAUUCCGAGUGUAGAGGUGAAAUUCGUAGAUAUUCGGAAGAACACCAGUGGCGAAGGCGGCUCUCUGGUCUGUAACUGACGCUGAGGCGCGAAAGCGUGGGGAGCGAACAGG